AGCUUGCUAAUAAUUCUCUAGUGGCGCACGGGUGAGUAACACGUGAGUACCUGCCCCCAAGAGUGGGAUAGCCCCGGGAAACUGGGAUUAAUACCGCAUAAAGCAAUAAAGCAGCAAUGCGCUUGGGGAUGGGCUCGCGUCCUAUUAGUUAGUUGGUGAGGUAACGGCUCACCAAGGCGAUGACGGGUAGCCGGUCUGAGAGGAUGUCCGGCCACACUGGAACUGAGACACGGUCCAGACACCUACGGGUGGCAGCAGUCGAGAAUCAUUCACAAUGGGGGAAACCCUGAUGGUGCGACGCCGCGUGGGGGAUAAGGUCUUCGGAUUGUAAACCCCUGUCAUGUGGGACAUUAAAAGAUAGUACCACAAGAGGAAGAGACGGCUAACUCUGUGCCAGCAGCCGCGGUAAUACAGAGGUCUCAAGCGUUGUUCGGAAUCACUGGGCGUAAAGCGUGCGUAGGCGGUUUCGUAAGUCGUGUGUGAAAGGCGGGGGCUCAACCCCCGGACUGCACAUGAUACUGCGAGACUAGAGUAAUGGAGGGGGAACCGGAAUUCUCGGUGUAGCAGUGAAAUGCGUAGAUAUCGAGAGGAACACUCGUGGCGAAGGCGGGUUCCUGGACAUUAACUGACGCUGAGGCACGAAGGCCAGGGGAGCGAAAGGGAUUAGAUACCCCUGUAGUC
rnacentral:rRNA from 1 species